GAAAUGCGAUAAGUAAUGCGAAUUGCAGAAUUCAGUGAAUCAUCGAAUCUUUGAACGCACAUUGCGCCCGCCAGCACUCUGGCGGGCAUGCCUGUUCGAGCGUCAUUUCAACCCCUCAGGCUCCGCCUGGCGUUGGGGCUCUGCCGUCCGCGGCAGGCCCUCAAAGACAGUGGCGGGUGCGCCGCGAGUACCGAACGCAGUAAUUAUGCCUCGUUCUGGGACCGCAGCGCUCUCCGGCCGUUAAACCCACUAUUUUUUACUGGUUGACCUCGGAUCAGGUAGGAAUACCCGCUGAACUUAA
rnacentral:misc_RNA from 1 species